UCAGAACCAUUCUCAUUUCUAACCAUCAAGCGCUCAGUCGAACUUUAAGUGCUCUUAGUGUUGCAUUCUGAAGUGUGUCAGAACGCAAUUCCAAGUCUGCAUUUUCAGUGUAGUCAAAAAUGGCCACUACAGUUGCAUUAGAGUAUACUAUAAUCUGUUUUCUCUUUCAGGUCAACUACUGUCACAGUGGAGCAUUGGUUUGAAGAAAAUAUUGCUGAGCAAGCCAUAAUGGGGGUGAAUCUGAGUCUCUGAAAGCUCGCUGUGAUCAGAAUCUGCUGCCUGUGAGCAGUGUCAGUCGUCUCAUUACUGGAUCUCCAGCCACAAGCCCGGCGUUCAGCAGGGACCCGCUGCUCCUCAUGGGAAACAGAGGCCUUUCUUCCUUCAGAAUACCACAGUUUCCCAGAGGAGACAGACCCACGGGGUUUCACAGUGUGUGAACCCUCAGACAUAUUCCCAACAUCUUUCUCAUACAGCCACAGGAAACAGCAGUUCCUCCAUGCUUGGAGCCAGUGGUUUUGCACUCUAUAAAGUCUCUUUUGUGGUUGGCUGGGGCUUUCAGACUAGUAGCUGCGGACAAACGACAGAGAUUUGUGCUCUCUGUGUUUUAAACA